ensembl:lncRNA
AAAUAUUGAAAUGUAAAAAAAAAUAAAGAAAUGUGAGUCUUUGUGUCACCUGAUGUUGGUUUGUCUGUUGUGAGGGGAGGAGAACUAAAACUACCAGAGUUUCUUGGUCCAAAGGUUUGAUCUGCUGAAAGAAGAAACUUCAUUUCAAAAACGUUUAAUACCUUUAUAUUUGUUAUCAAUGUUAUUUUUAUUUACUUUUGAUGAAGAAAACAAAAACAGUAUAUAUUGUUUUCAUAUUGUCUGUGUGCUCAUAAAUAUUUGUCUAAAAGUUGAAAUAAAAUAAAACAGUUACAACAUUCAAAGAUAACACAAAACACAUAUGUGAUCAAAGAAAUGUGACUUAAUAUAUAAUUUUGUUACCUGGUGUUUGCUUUAUACGAGUUACAGGCCUGGAAGCACUGAGACCUGCUGAAUAGAAAUAUUUUAUAACUUUAAAAAUAACAACUAUAUUGAGGGAUUUAAUACCUUUAUAUUUGUUAUCAAUGUUAUUUUUAUUUACUUUUGAUGAGGAAAACAAAAAUAUAUAAUGUAUUCAUAUUGUCUGUGUGCUCAUGAAUAUUUGUCUAAAAGUUAAGAUAAAAGAAAAAGAUUUAACAAAACAGUAAUAACACUCAAAGAUAACACAAUACAAAUAUGUGAUUGAUAAAAUGGGACUUUAUAUAUCUGUAAUUUUGUUACCUGAUGUUUGCUUUACAGUAGUUACAGGCCUGGAAGCACAAAGACCUGCUGAAUAGAAAUAUUUUGUAACUUUUGGAUUUGUGGUAAUGUGGAUUUUAUUUCCACGUAGGUUCUACCUGUGGUCACAGCAGAUGCCGUCUUAGUCUGCGUCGUGCUCGACUUGACAACAUCUACAACAAAAGAGGAUCAGCUUGGACCCGCCAUCGUCAUGUGUGAGUGUGGGGGACAGUAUUUAUACAAACUUAAGUAGGAAGCAAGAGAAACAAUUUGUGAUUCUUUAAUAUCACGUACAAUAUAUCUAGAAUUGUGCGGAAGCACAAGACCUGCUGACGGUAAAAUCUAGUGAAGAAAUCCAUAUGAAAACCUUAAAAAUAUGUAUUUUAUAUAAAAUGUGCUUGAACAAUCAUAAAAGUGUGUUGUGUCAUUUGUUGAAGAUUAUCUUGAUAAAAACAUUCCGUGGGCUUUAUGUAAAG